CUACUGCUCCACUUAAAGGAAGUUAAAACUGUGGAAGUAUUUUGGGGGUGAAGGUUAAAAUAUCUGUAAACCAAUUCAAUAGGAAUUACAAACGGAAGAAAUCAGUACAGUCAAAGGUUCCCUGCUUGUCAAAUAUGAUAUAACGUUUGUGUCGUGGUCCAAGAGCAGUCUCAGCACUGCUUUCCUUCAGUGUUUUGGAAAAUGCAAACAGACAUGUUAAGGCUGUGUUUCCAAGCCAAUUGUAUUCCCAAAGGAAGGCUCUGAGUAAGUGCUAGACAAGCUCGCCUGUUCCAGGACUGGCAGGAGGUUGCUGAAUCAUCCUGAGGCUGAAGAAAUCAGAGGGUAACUCAUGAUAAAAAUUCUGGAUGCUGGAUACAAUGAGAAGUGGCUUGAUUUUCCCCUCAAUGUGGAUAGAAUUCACAAAACUUGUUCCUGGAAUGGCUUCUUGGAAUAGCUAUGAACUCUCUUUCAAAAACACUUCCUUGUUUUGCUUACCCUUUCAACCUCCAGGUAGGGUGUUUUUGCUGCCUGAUUUCAUGCUUCUCUCCCUUUUCUUCCUCCCUCUCCUUGAACAAACUGGAUCACACAAUCAGCCGUGGAGUUGACAAGUUCCUCAAGUCCCCACUACCCAGGCUUUGUCGUGAUACAGGGCUCACAUGAUGCUUUCCCCAUGCCAUUCUCUCUUUUUUACCCCACUCUCUAGCACCUAUCCUUCCAUGGGAGAAGGGAUUAACAGGCAGCAGAUGCCUUCCAU
rnacentral:lncRNA from 1 species